GACGAACGCUGGCGGCGUGCUUAAUACAUGCAAGUCGAACGAGAUGUAUUCUUCGGGAUACUAGUAAAGUGGCGAACGGGUGAGUAACACGUAAGCAACCUGCCCUCAGGAUGGGGACAACCCUGCUAACGCGGGGCUAAUACCGAAUGACGCAGCGAAUUCGCAUGAAUUUGCUGUUAAAGGUGGGGAUCUUUUUAAGACCUACUGUCUGGGGAUGGGCUUGCGGUCCAUUAGCUUGUUGGUGAGGUAACGGCUCACCAAGGCCGCGAUGGAUAGCCGGCCUGAGAGGGUGUCCGGCCACACUGGGACUGAGAUACGGCCCAGACUCCUACGGGAGGCAGCAGUAAGGAAUAUUGCGCAAUGGCCUGACGGCUGACGCAGCAACGCCGCGUGACCGAUGAAGCUUUUAGGAGUGUAAAGGUCUGUUAGGAGGGAUGAAAACCACCGCUUGUAAUACGGGCGGUGUCUGACACUACCUCCAGAGAAAGCUCCGGCUAACUCCGUGCCAGCAGCCGCGGUAAUACGGAGGGAGCAAGCGUUGUCCGGAAUCACUGGGCGUAAAGGGCAUGUAGGCUGGCAGUUAAGUCAGAAGUGAAAUCUACUCGCUUAACGAGUGAACUGCUUUUGAUACUGGCUGUCUUGAGUGCUGGAGAGGUGAGCGGAAUUCCAGGUGUAGCGGUGAAAUGUGUAGAUAUCUGGAAGAACACCGGUGGCGAAGGCUGCUCUCUGGCCAGAUACUGACGCUGAAAUGCGAAAGCGUGGGGAGCGAACAGGAUUAGAUACCCUGGUAGUCCACGCCCUAAACGAUGGAUACUAGGUGUUGGGGGUGUCGACCCCCUCAGUGCCGCAGCUAACGCAUUAAGUAUCCCGCCUGGGGAGUACGAUCGCAAGGUUGAAACUCAAAGGAAUUGACGG
rnacentral:rRNA from 1 species